UACGUAGGGUGCAAGCGUUGUCCGGAAUUAUUGGGCGUAAAGGGCUCGUAGGCGGUUUGUCGCGUCGGGAGUGAAAUCACUGGGCUUAACCGAGUGCUUGCUUUCGAUACGGGCAGACUUGAGGCAUUCAGGGGAGAACGGAAUUCCUGGUGUAGCGGUGAAAUGCGCAGAUAUCAGGAGGAACACCGGUGGCGAAGGCGGUUCUCUGGGCAUGUUCUGACGCUGAGGAGCGAAAGUGUGGGGAGCGAACAGG
rnacentral:rRNA from 1 species